UACGGUAGGGUGCGAGCGUUAAUCGGAAUUACUAGGGCGUGAAAGCGUGCGCAGGCGGCUUUGUAAGUCAGAAUGUGAAAUCCCCGAGCUCAACUUGGGACUGCGUUUGAAACUACAAGGCUAGGAAUAUGUCAGAGGGGGGUAGAAUUCCACGUGUAGCAGUGAAAUGCGUAGAGAUGUGGAGGAUACCAAUGGCGAAGGCAGCCCCCUGGGAUAAGUAUUGACG
rnacentral:rRNA from 1 species